GAUGAACGCUGGCGGCGUGCCUAAUACAUGCAAGUCGAGCGAACGGACGAGAAGCUUGCUUCUCUGAUGUUAGCGGCGGACGGGUGAGUAACACGUGGAUAACCUACCUAUAAGACUGGGAUAACUUCGGGAAACCGGAGCUAAUACCGGAUGAUAUUUUGAACCGCAUGGUUCAAAAGUGAAAGACGGUCUUGCUGUCACUUAUAGAUGGAUCCGCGCUGCAUUAGCUAGUUGGUAAGGUAAUGGCUUACCAAGGCAACGAUGCAUAGCCGACCUGAGAGGGUGAUCGGCCACACUGGAACUGAGACACGGUCCAGACUCCUACGGGGGGCAGCAGUAGGGAAUCUUCCGCAAUGGGCGAAAGCCUGACGGAGCAACGCCGCGUGAGUGAUGAAGGUCUUCGGAUCGUAAAACUCUGUUAUUAGGGAAGAACAUAUGUGUAAGUAACUGUGCACAUCUUGACGGUACCUAAUCAGAAAGCCACGGCUAACUACGUG
rnacentral:rRNA from 1 species